rnacentral:rRNA from 1 species
CAGGCGGCUGGUCAAGUCCGAUGUGAAAUCUCCCGGCUUAACUGGGAAACUGCAUCGGAAACUGAUCGGCUUGAAGGUGGGAGAGGGUAGUGGAAUUCCCGGUGUAGUGGUGAAAUGCGUAGAUAUCGGGAGGAACACCAGUGGCGAAGGCGACUACCUGGCCCAUUCUUGACGCUGAGGCGCGAAAGCUAGGGGAGCGAACG